GACAGAGGGUGCAAACGUUGCUCGGAAUUACUGGGCGUAAAGCGCGUGUAGGUGGAUUGGUGUGUCAGAUGUGAAAUCCCUGGGCUCAACCCAGGAACUGCACCUGAAACUACCAGUCUUGAGUGGUGGAGAGGGAAGUGGAAUUCCUGGUGUAGAGGUGAAAUGCGUAGAUAUCUGGAGGAACACCGGUGGCGAAGGCGGCAUCCUGGACCGGCAUUGACGCUGAGGAGCGAAAGCCAGGG
rnacentral:rRNA from 1 species